rnacentral:ncRNA from 1 species
UGGACUGUACAGGAGUGAGUAUGCUGGCAUAAGUAGCGAGAAAUAAGUGAGAAUCUUAUUGGUCGAAAACCUAAGGUUUCCUGAGGAAGGUUCGUCCACUCAGGGUUAGUCGGGACCUAAGCCGAGGCCGAAAGGCGUAGGUGAUGGACAAUCGGUUGAUAUUCCGAUACCACCAGUAACGUUAUUAGAGAUGGGGUGACGCAGAAGGAUAAGAUGUGCACACUAUUGGAUGUGUGUCUAAGCAUUUAGGCAGAUUAAAUAGGCAAAUCCGUUUAAUCAAUGCUAAGGUGUUAUAGGGAGCGAAAUUUUAGUAGCGAAGUAUCUGAUUUCAUGCUGCCAAGAAAAGCCUCUAUCGAGGAAACUGGUGCCCGUACCGCAAACCGACACAGGUAGGUGAGGAGAGAAUCCUAAGACCAGCGGAAGAAUUGUUGUCAAGGAACUAGGCAAAUUGACCCCGUAACUUUGGGAGAAGGGGUGCCUACUUAACAGUAGGUCGCAGUGAAUAGGCCCAAACAACUGUUUAGCAAAAACACAGGUCUCUGCUAAAGCGAAAGCUGAAGUAUAGGGGCUGACGCCUGCCCGGUGCUGGAAGGUUAAGGGAAUCACUUAGCGUAAGCAAAGGUGUGAACUUAAGCCCCAGUAAACGGCGGCCGUAACUAUAACGGUCCUAAGGUAGCGAAAUUCCUUGUCGGGUAAGUUCCGACCCGCACGAAAGGCGUAAUGAUUUGGGCACUGUCUCGACAACAAAUCCGGCGAAAUUGUAGUGCAAGUGAAGAUGCUUGCUACCCGCGAUAGGACGGAAAGACCCCGUAGAGCUUUACUGCAGCUUAUCAUUGAGUUUCGGUAUUGUCUGUACAGGAUAGGUGGGAGACUAAGAAAUCUAGGCGUCAGCUUAGAUGGAGUCAUCCUUGGGAUACCACCCUGAUAGUACUGAGAUUCUAACCGGAGGCCAUGAAACUGGUCACGGGACAUUGUUAGGCGGGCAGUUUGACUGGGGCGGUCGCCUCCUAAAAAGUAACGGAGGCGCCCAAAGGUUCCCUCAGUGCGGUUGGAAACCGCGCGUAGAGUGCAAAGGCAGAAGGGAGCCUGACUGCGACACAUACAGGUGGAGCAGAGACGAAAGUCGGGCUUAGUGAUCCGGUGGUA